GCUGAGGUAGCCUAAUCUGGUAAGGCGCAGGUUUGCUAAACCUGUGUCCCAAAAGGACCUGUGGGUUCAAAUCCCACCCUCAGCGC
rnacentral:tRNA from 1 species